AUUUUGACUGUGCAAAGGUAGCAUAAUCAUUAGUCUUUUAAUUGGAGACUGGUAUGAAUGGUUUAACGAAGUAUUAACUGUCUCAUUUUAAUAAGUUGAAAUUAACUUUUGAGUCAAAAGGCUUAAAUAAAAUUAGAGGACGAGAAGACCCUAUAGAGCUUUAUAAGUUUGUUACGAAAUGUAAUUUAGAGGUUUAUUUAAUUUAAGUAAAAAAUUUAUUUUAUUGGGGUGAUAUGAAGAUUUAAUAAACUCUUUAUAAUAAUUAAACACUAAUAAGUGAAUAGUUGAUCCAUUUUUAGUGAUUAUAAGAUUAAGUUACCUUAGGGAUAACAGCGUAAUGUUUUUUGAGAGUUCUUAUCAACAAAAAAGAUUGCGACCUCGAUGUUGGAUUAAGGAAAAAGUUGGG
rnacentral:rRNA from 1 species